rnacentral:rRNA from 1 species
GAUGAACGCUGGCGGCGUGCCUAAUACAUGCAAGUCGAGCGAACAGACGAGGAGCUUGCUCCUUUGACGUUAGCGGCGGACGGGUGAGUAACACGUGGGUAACCUACCUAUAAGACUGGGAUAACUUCGGGAAACCGGAGCUAAUACCGGAUAAUAUUUCGAACCGCAUGGUUCGAUAGUGAAAGAUGGCUUUGCUAUCACUUAUAUAUGGACCUGCGCCGUAUUAGCUAGUUGGUAAGGUAACGGCUUACCAAGGCAACGAUACGUAGCCGACCUGAGAGGGUGAUCGGCCACACUGGAACUGAGACACGGUCCAGACUCCUACGGGAGGCAGCAGUAGGGAAUCUUCCGCAAUGGGCGAAAGCCUGACGGAGCAACGCCGCGUGAGUGAUGAAGGUCUUCGGAUCGUAAAACUCUGUUAUUAGGGAAGAACAAACGUGUAAGUAACUGUGCACGUCUUGACGGUACCUAAUCAGAAAGCCACGGCUAACUACGUG